CCUACGGGUGGCAGCAGUGGGGAAUAUUGCACAAUGGGGGAAACCCUGAUGCAGCGACGCCGCGUGAGUGAGGAAGUAUUUCGGUAUGUAAAGCUCUAUCAGCAGGGAAGAAAAUGACGGUACCUGACUAAGAAGCCCCGGCUAACUACGUGCCAGCAGCCGCGGUAAUACGUAGGGGGCAAGCGUUAUCCGGAUUUACUGGGUGUAAAGGGAGCGUAGACGGAAUUGCAAGUCUGAUGUGAAAAUCCGGGGCCCAACCCCGGAACUGCAUUGGAAACUGUAUUUCUAGAGUGUCGGAGAGGCAAGUGGAAUUCCUGGUGUAGCGGUGAAAUGCGUAGAUAUCAGGAGGAACACCAGUGGCGAAGGCGGCUUGCUGGACGAUGACUGACGUUGAGGCUCGAAAGCGUGGGGAGCAAACAGGAUUAGAUACCCCUGUAGUC
rnacentral:rRNA from 1 species